rnacentral:rRNA from 1 species
GCAAAAUGGUGCCGUAACUUCGGGAGAAGGCACGCUGAUAUGUAGGUGAAGCGACUUGCUCGUGGAGCUGAAAUCAGUCGAAGAUACCAGCUGGCUGCAACUGUUUAUUAAAAACACAGCACUGUGCAAACACGAAAGUGGACGUAUACGGUGUGACGCCUGCCCGGUGCCGGAAGGUUAAUUGAUGGGGUUAGCGGUAACGCGAAGCUCUUGAUCGAAGCCCCGGUAAACGGCGGCCGUAACUAUAACGGUCCUAAGGUAGCGAAAUUCCUUGUCGGGUAAGUUCCGACCUGCACGAAUGGCGUAAUGAUGGCCAGGCUGUCUCCACCCGAGACUCAGUGAAAUUGAACUCGCUGUGAAGAUGCAGUGUACCCGCGGCAAGACGGAAAGACCCCGUGAACCUUUACUAUAGCUUGACACUGAACAUUGAGCCUUGAUGUGUAGGAUAGGUGGGAGGCUUUGAAGUGUGGACGCCAGUCUGCAUGGAGCCGACCUUGAAAUACCACCCUUUAAUGUUUGAUGUUCUAACGUUGGCCCCUAAUCGGGGUUGCGGACAGUGUCUGGUGGGUAGUUUGACUGGGGCGGUCUCCUCCUAAAGAGUAACGGAGGAGCACGAAGGUUGGCUAAUCCUGGUCGGACAUCAGGAGGUUAGUGCAAUGGCAUAAGCCAGCUUGACUGCGAGCGUGACGGCGCGAGCAGGUGCGAAAGCAGGUCAUAGUGAUCCGGUGGUUCUGAAUGGAAGGGCCAUCGCUCAACGGAUAAAAGGUACUCCGGGGAUAACAGGCUGAUACCGCCCAAGAGUUCAUAUCGACGGCGGUGUUUGGCACCUCGAUGUCGGCUCAUCACAUCCUGGGGCUGAAGUAGGUCCCAAGGGUAUGGCUGUUCGCCAUUUAAAGUGGUACGCGAGCUGGGUUUAGAACGUCGUGAGACAGUUCGGUCCCUAUCUGCCGUGGGCGCUGGAGAACUGAGGGGGGCUGCUCCUAGUACGAGAGGACCGGAGUGGACGCAUCACUGGUGUUCGGGUUGUCAUGCCAAUGGCACUGCCCGGUAGCUAAAUGCGGAAGAGAUAAGUGCUGAAAGCAUCUAAGCACGAAACUUGCCCCGAGAUGAGUUCUCCCUGAGACUUAGAGUCUCCUGAAGGAACGUUGAAGACGACGACGUUGAUAGGCCGGGUGUGUAAGCGCAGCGAUGCGUUGAGCUAACCGGUACUAAUGAACCGUGAGGCUUAACCUU